GCCAUAGCUCAGUGGUAGAGCAUCUGCUUUGCAUGCAGAUUCUCAGGUGACUCCUGCCUGUAAAUG